rnacentral:tmRNA from 1 species
CCUCUCGACAGAGCCUUACCCCGAUCCUAUAUCAGCUCUGCCGGGCAUGACCCGGCUAUGGCAGUAAACGGCGCGUCCGUUGGCGGGGCGGACCCGGGGGCAGUACCCGGCGCCUCCACCAGGACGGCAUCCUGGGACGCUUCGGGUGUCGUGCUGAUGGGGGCGAAACAGGAUCGACGCACGCUUCAACGACGCGACCUUCUGCCCGGCAUGGUACCGCCGUUACAGGGCCAAACCGAUAAAUGCCAACGAUAACGACGUGGCAUUGGCGGUUGCUGCCUGAUCUCACGGCCUAGCGGCCCAAGAUCGGCGGCAUGCGCCACGGUCUCGCGGAACGCACCGGGUAACAGAAGCGUUCCCCC